rnacentral:rRNA from 1 species
AGUGAACGCUGGCGGUAGGCCUAACACAUGCAAGUCGAACGGCAGCACAGUAAGAGCUUGCUCUUACGGGUGGCGAGUGGCGGACGGGUGAGGAAUACAUCGGAAUCUACUUUUUCGUGGGGGAUAACGUAGGGAAACUUACGCUAAUACCGCAUACGACCUACGGGUGAAAGCAGGGGAUCUUCGGACCUUGCGCGAUUGAAUGAGCCGAUGUCGGAUUAGCUAGUUGGCGGGGUAAGGGCCCACCAAGGCGACGAUCCGUAGCUGGUCUGAGAAGAUGAUCAGCCACACUGGAACUGAGACACGGUCCAGACUCCUACGGGAGGCAGCAGUGGGGAAUAUUGGACAAUGGGCGCAAGCCUGAUCCAGCCAUACCGCGUGGGUGAAGAAGGCCUUCGGGUUGUAAAGCCCUUUUGUUGGGAAAGAAAAGCAGCAGGUUAAUACCCCGCUGUUCUGACGGUACCCAAAGAAUAAGCACCGGCUAACUUCGUG